UACGUAGGGCGCAAGCGUUGUCCGGAAUUAUUGGGCGUAAAGAGCUUGUAGGUGGUUUGUCGCGUCUGCUGUGAAAAUCCGAGGCUCAACCUCGGACUUGCAGUGGGUACGGGCAGACUAGAGUGUGGUAGGGGAGACUGGAAUUCCUGGUGUAGCGGUGAGAUGCGCAGAUAUCAGGAGGAACACCGGUGGCGAAGGCGGGUCUCUGGGCCGAUACUGACGCUGAGGAGCGAAAGCGUGGGGAGCGAACAGG
rnacentral:rRNA from 1 species